UCUCGCCCAAAAAUAACUCUUUAACCUUUAGUAAAAAAAAAAAUCUACCUAAGUAAAAAAAAAAAACCCUUGGACUAGAUCUGAAAAUUAACUCGGUCGCCAUCAUCGCGCCUCCGGCUCUCGCCGCCUCCGUCGUCCGUCCGGCUCUCGCCGCCUCCGUCGUCCGUCCGGCUCUCGCCGCCUCUAUCUCGCUGCCUCCGUCCUCUCGCCUCCCUUAGCAGACAGGUGCGACGGUCCACAGAUCCACGACGAACACAGCCUCCAAAUCUCCAAUGGAACACAGCCUCGCCGCCUCGCCUACUGCCCUGCUCCGCCAUCCGUAGCUCCUCGACGGACCACAGAUCCACGACGAAGGGAGUUCAGGAAAAAAGAAAGCUAUUAUUGCAGGUGUAGUCGGUGGUGUGGGAAUCAUAUUGGUAUUAGCAGCCAUUUUCCUUUAUCGAAGAUCAAAAAAGCCAAAUGCAGCAAGAAGAGGCAAUAUUCUGGGGGCAACUCAGUUGAGGGUCCAGAGAACUACAGAUAUAAAGAUUUGAAAGCCGCAACCAAAGGCUUCAGUGAAGAAAAUAAACUCGGCCAAGGAGGUUUUGGUGAUGUAUACAAGGGAACACUAAAGAACGGGGAUGUGGUUGCGGUGAAGAAACUAGCAAUGAUUUCCAGUAGAGCAAAGGCAGUCUCAUCGCACAGGCACACCACUCCACCAACCAGUUAACCACGAGCCUCCGGUAAAAAAAAGGCUUCCAGCUGCUUAGCCUUCUGCCAUCGUGAAAUCCGUUCCGGUUGCUGCAAAAAAGGCUUCUCGCUGUUCAGUUGCGGCACUAGAGCUUUGUUGCCUUAGCCAACGCACUCCUCUUCCCGUCCUUCCCGUCAAAGUCGCUGGCCGGCAUCUCCAUCGCUAUCUCCAUUUCUUCUGGGCUACAGGAAGAUCUGCACCACGCCUUGCUCCUCACCCUGCACCAGCACCACCUCUGGUCAGUACGCCACCGUCGAGAUGCCUAAGCCGUUGCUCAUCAACGUAACCAAAGUCGCCUCUUCCUGUCUCCACCACAGUCGAGACAGAGGACUCUUCUGUAAUUCCUAAUUCCAUUUAUCAAAAUCUCAUAAUUUCAUUAAGCCCUAAAUCCCUAUGUUUUUCUUACUUUGAAAUUUUAUUAAUCUCUGUUGGAAUGCCUAGUUCAGGAGGUUACUCAUAUAGUGGUAAUUAUGGUAUGCCAUCUGCAUAUCCCGAACAGCUACCACAGAUGGUGGUAAUUAUGGUAUCACAUUGUUGGCAUUGCCUGAUUGAUGCACUUUCUUACCUUGCUUGGUAGUAAAUGACUGGCUUCAAGAGCAUGGAAUUGUAUGCAUUUUGUACUCAUACUGCAAUGCAAUAAAUAAUAUUGGUAUACAUAGUCCUCCUUUAUGGCUCAAGUGAACUAUUUCAUUAUUUUCUACAGAAAUUUCUCAUUCUUUAUGAUCUUUUUUGUGUGCUUGCUUGCUUGCAUGGUAUUAUGUUAGCUAUAGAAUUAUAAGUGUGUAAUUGUUUCUCUGUAAGUGCUGCUCUAAAGAGUAAAGGAAUAAACCAGUUUGCUCAUGUUAACUGUGGAAACUGCCGUACAAUGUUGAUGUAUCCGUUUGGAGCUCCCUCUGUUAAGUGUGUUGUGUGUCACUUCAUCACUAAUGUUAAUAAUAUUUAAGGGGAUCUGAGAGCUCAACCUUGACCCAACCCUGCAUCUUGCCACCCAUUCCUCCUUUGAAAAAGUAAAGACAAGCAAGAAAAAGGAAGGACGCUGCAUUGCAGAUUUGCAGGUAUACUCAUCAUUUACACUUGAUCAAAGUCAUUGAAGUAGAAGGCUGUGGAUGUUGCAUUGACCAAAGCCAUUGAAGCAGUGCCGGAUUUGAAGGCUUAUUUGGGUGCAGGGAGCAUACUUAAGUAGUAUUGAUUAAGUAGUAUAUAUUUUCAUGACUUUUGUUUGGGGUAUGAUAAUAGUACGUACAUUUUUGGAAGUACUAUGGACAUGACCAUAAUUUUUCUUGUAAAUAAUUUUGAUGUUUGAAUAUAUUUUCAAUUUGAAAUU